UACAAACCAGCACAAAAUAAGUAGGAAAUGAACCUUAGGUUUUUGUGCAAGAUCAUCUACACAGAGACACUGGAAUCUGGAAAACUCCCAGAAGAGAAGAGUGGCUGAAGAUUUAUAUACUUUCUUGGAAGAUGGAUAACAUGUUCUGCUUGGCCAGGAAGCUAGAACACUGUUACAAAGCCCAGAAGCCCUCUCUGAAUGCUAGCAGUAUCUUUCUGUUUGUGGAAAGAAAGCUUUUCUGUUCUGCCUCCUCUCUUCUGAGCUGUCUAACACUGAGAUAGCAAAGGAUGCCAUAGAUUCCUUGGACAGAAACUACAGCACUACAGGGGUUCUUUUCCAGGUAUACUGACUUUCUGAAGAGCAGUAGAUGGAAGAAACCAUGCAGAGUAGAAGCUCACUGGCUCUGCAUAUGACAGAGACUCCUGUUGAGCUCCUGAAGGUGAAGCAGAGCCCUUUGAUUUGUCAGACCAUGCCUCCCAUAUUCCAGACUAUAGAGUUCCCCCAGGGAAAUACAGAAACUCAGUUUCUGAUUGGAAA